UGGCGAGUGGCGAACGGGUGAGUAAUAUAUCGGAACGUACCCUAGAGUGGGGGAUAACGUAGCGAAAGUUACGCUAAUACCGCAUACGAUCUAAGGAUGAAAGUGGGGGAUCACAAGACCUCAUGCUCGUGGAGCGGCCGAUAUCUGAUUAGCUAGUUGGUAGGGUAAAAGCCUACCAAGGCAUCGAUCAGUAGCUGGUCUGAGAGGACGACCAGCCACACUGGAACUGAGACACGGUCCAGACUCCUACGGGAGGCAGCAGUGGGGAAUUUUGGACAAUGGGCGAAAGCCUGAUCCAGCAAUGCCGCGUGAGUGAAGAAGGCCUUCGGGUUGUGAAGCUCUUUUGUCAGGGAAGAAACGGUGAGAGCUAAUAUCUCUUGCUAAUGACGGUACCUGAAGAAUAAGCACCGGCUAACUACGUGCCAGCAGCCGCGGUAAUACGUAGGGUGCAAGCGUUAAUCGGAAUUACUGGGCGUAAAGCGUGCGCAGGCGGUUUUGUAAGUCUGAUGUGAAAUCCCCGGGCUCAACCUGGGAAUUGCAUUGGAGACUGCAAGGCUAGAAUCUGGC
rnacentral:rRNA from 1 species